rnacentral:rRNA from 1 species
UAAGUCUCUGGUGAAAUCCUGCAGCUUAACUGUGGGAAUUGCUGGAGAUACUAUUAGACUUGAGACCGGGAGAGGUUAGAGGUACUCCCAGGGUAGAGGUGAAAUUCUGUAAUCCUGGGAGGACCGCCUGUUGCGAAGGCGUCUAACUGGAACGGUUCUGACGGUGAGGGACGAAAGUUAGGGGCGCGAACCGGAUUAGGAUACCCCGGGUAGUCCUAACUGUAAACGAUGCGGACUUGGUGUUGGGGUGGCUUUGAGCCGCUUCAGUGCCGAAGGGAAGCUGUUAAGUCCGCCGCCUGGGAAGUACGGUCGCAAGACUGAAACUUAAGGAAUUGGCGGGGGAGCACCACAACGCGUGGAGCCUGCCGGUUUAAUUGGAUUCAACGCCGGACAUCUCACCAGAGGCGACAGCUGUAUGAUAGCCAGGUUGAUGACUUUGCUUGACUAGCUGAGAGGUGGUGCAUGG